rnacentral:tRNA from 1 species
UAGUGUUUAGUUUAACUAAAACAAAUGGUUUCGACCCAUUAAAUUAUGUGCCAAUCAUAAUCACUAA